UUACGGUCAAAUCACGCUGAAAACACCGGUUCUCGUUCGAUCACCGAAGUUAAGCAUCGUAGAGCCAGGUCAGUACUUAGAUGGGGACCGCUUGGGAACACCUGGUACUGUAA
rnacentral:rRNA from 1 species